AUUCCAGCUCCAAUAGCGUAUAUUUAAGUUGCUGCAGUUAAAAAGCUCGUAGUUGGAUUUCGGGUGGGAAUGGCCGGUCCGCCGUUUCGGUGUGCACUUGCUAGUCCCACCUUGCUGCCGGGGACGUGCUCUUGGGUUUCGGCUCGGGACACGGAGUCGGCGAGGUUACUUUGAGUAAAUUAGAGUGUUCAAAGCAGGCCUACGCUCUGAAUACAUUAGCAUGGAAUAACACGAUAGGACUCUGGCCUAUCUUGUUGGUCUGUAGGACCGGAGUAAUGAUUAAGAGGGACAGUCGUGGGCAUUCGUAUUUCAUUGUCAGAGGUGAAAUUCUUGGAUUUAUGAAAGACGAACUACUGCGAAAGCAUUUGCCAAGGAUGUUUUCAUUA
rnacentral:rRNA from 1 species